ACGUCACCAUACGUCACGCUAUACUUUUGACACCGAACGUUAGCUGCCGCGAGCAUCGAAAAAAAAAGAAAGAUGAACUUAAGUUAACAGGCAUUGAUUUAUUUUUUUAAUUCUUUGCCGCGAAAACUAAAACGUUUUGCGUAUAAAUGAACUUAAGCUUUGCGACUUAUUUUCCUUGCCUUACCUAGCCACAGGUCAAUGACGCGCCAGAUACAUGCGUCAUCCGCCAGACACUCCCCCGAAGCCAGCGAGGAUGACUGCGCGGCGACCCGUCUGUCUCCUUCUUUUUUUCUUUUUCAAAUGUAACCUGGUUUAUUGGGCUCUCGGCGUAUUCUUGCGUUCCUUCUGCACUGGGACAAGACACCACUGCACUAUUGGACUACGGCAAGCUGGUGCCGUCCGGUGGAGCUUCAUACAGGAACUACUGCCUUACCUGCUGGUGUCACAACGUUGGAUGAACGCACAAAGAGCGCGGAACGAGCUUUUAUAUAGAGCAAAAUAAAUAUUUCCUCAUUGCACAAAA